rnacentral:rRNA from 1 species
AUUGAACGCCGGCGGCGUGCUUAACACAUGCAAGUCGAUCGGUAACAGGUGUAGCAAUACAUGCUGACGAGAGGCGGACGGGUGAGGAAUAUUUGGGAAUCUGCCCAUCAGCGGGGGACAACCCGGGGAAACCCGGGCUAAUACCGCAUACGCUCUACGGAGGAAAGCCGGGGACCGCAAGGCCUGGCACUGAUGGAUGAGCCCAAAUCGGAUUAGCUAGUUGGCGGGGUAACGGCCCACCAAGGCGACGAUCCGUAGCUGGUCUGAGAGGACGAUCAGCCACACCGGAACUGAGACACGGUCCGGACUCCUACGGGAGGCAGCAGUGGGGAAUAUUGGACAAUGGGGGAAACCCUGAUCCAGCGACGCCGCGUGGGUGAAGAAGGCCUGCGGGUUGUAAAGCCCUUUCGGUAGGGGCGAAAGCUCUUGCUCCAACAAAGCAGGAGGUUGACUUAACCUACAUAAGAAGCACCGGCUAACUCUGUGCCAGCCGCCGCGGUAACAC